ACGGAGGGGGCUAGCGUUGUUCGGAAUUACUGGGCGUAAAGCGCGCGUAGGCGGCUUUGUAGGUUAGAGGUGAAAGCCUGGAGCUCAACUCCAGAACUGCCUUUAAGACUGCAUCGCUAGAAUUGUGGAGAGGUGAGUGGAAUUCCGAGUGUAGAGGUGAAAUUCGUAGAUAUUCGGAAGAACACCAGUGGCGAAGGCGACUCACUGGACACAUAUUGACGCUGAGGUGCGAAAGCGUGGGGAGCAAACAGGA
rnacentral:rRNA from 1 species